GACGAACGCUGGCGGCGUGCUUAACACAUGCAAGUCGAGCGGUAAGGCCCUUUCGGGGGUACACGAGCGGCGAACGGGUGAGUAACACGUGGGUGACCUGCCCUCAGCUCUGGGAUAAGCCUGGGAAACCGGGUCUAAUACCGGAUAUGACCUCAUGACGCAUGUUGUGGGGUGGAAAGCCUUGUGCGGCUGAGGAUGGGCCCGCGGCCUAUCAGCUUGUUGGUGGGGUGAUGGCCUACCAAGGCGACGACGGUAGCCGGCCUGAGAGGGCGACCGGCCACACUGGGACUGAGACACGGCCCAGACUCCUACGGGAGGC
rnacentral:rRNA from 1 species